GGGGCACGGGGGGCCUACGGGAGGCAGCAGUGGGGGAAUUUUGGACAAUGGGGGCAACCCUGAUCCAGCCAUGCCGCGUGCGGUGAAGAAGGCCUUCGGGUUGUAAACCGCUUUUAGUCGGGAAGAAAAGGCCAGGCCGAAUACGUCUGGUUCUUGUACGGUACCGGCGGAAUAAGCCCGGCUAACUACGUGCC
rnacentral:rRNA from 1 species